GUACUUGUUUCUGCAGCACAUAUAUUAAAAUUUGAAUGAUACAAAGAAUAUUAGCAUAGCCUUUGCACAAAGAUGACAUGCAAAUUCAUGAAUUACUCCAUAUAUUU
ensembl:snRNA U6 U6 spliceosomal RNA